AAAGAGAUCUGAUCUAACCCACCUUCAUCUCGCUUUUCUCUUAGUUAUUCCUGGGUUUUCGGGGUGAGCUAACUUCAAGAAACAUUUACUUUAUAGUUUAAAUAACAGGCUUUUCCCCAAACCCAAGUGCCUUUGUAAAGCUAAUGAAAGGCCAUCAGGCUGGGAGAGGAGAGGAACCUGAAUUCUGCUAAGGUGUAGACAUAAAUGAUUGCUAGCUACUCCUGCAGAUGACACCACUAUAGUAGAUUGGCCUUUGAGAUAUCUUUUCCAUUUUUUUGCAUGUCUAACACCCAG
rnacentral:lncRNA from 10 species